rnacentral:tRNA from 1 species
GGAUCCUUAGCUCAGUUGGUAGAGCAGCUGACUCUUAAUCAGUAGGUCGUGGGUUCAAAUCCCCCAGGGUCCACCA